GCCUCUUUGUUGCUCAAUUUCACCUUGCACAUUGGCGUGUGCAUAGGAGUGGGGAGCAGCCAUCCUCUCACCCAACUUGUUACCGGCUACAAAAUUGGAAGCUUACUUAAGUUUUUAAUACAGCAGUGGUACCACAACGACGGUGCUACAAGAGACCCUAUCAUCAGUGCAAAGUCCAAAAUUGAAUACAAAUGCAGUGAUUCCUGGAAA